rnacentral:lncRNA from 1 species
UUUUUCUUUCUUAAUUUAAUUUCUUUUGUUUAUUUAUUUAACAUCCUUGACCAUUUUUAAUUUCUUUUUGUUUUCUUAUUUAUUCUUUUAAUCAAACAUUUUUUAAAUACAUUUCAUCAAUACCUUUUAUUAUUAUUAUUAUUAUUAUUAUUAUUAUUAUUAUUUUCAUCAUUUUUGUGUGGACCAUUUUUCCCUUAUAGUUAGUCUUGCUUGAUAACAAUCUCUUGAUCAUUGGUAAUUAAUCCUAUGGUUGAU